rnacentral:rRNA from 1 species
AUUGAACGCUGGCGGCAGGCCUAACACAUGCAAGUCGAACGGUAACAGGAAGAAGCUUGCUUCUUUGCUGAUGAGUGGCGGACGGGUGAGUAAUGUCUGGGAAACUGCCUGAUGGAGGGGGAUAACUACUGGAAACGGUAGCUAAUACCGCAUAACGUCGCAAGACCAAAAAGGGGGACCUUCGGGCCUCUUGCCAUCGGAUGUGCCCAGAUGGGAUUAGCUAGUAGGUGGGGUAACGGCUCACCUAGGCGACGAUCCCUAGCUGGUCUGAGAGGAUGACCAGCCACACUGGAACUGAGACACGGUCCAGACUCCUACGGGAGGCAGCAGUGGGGAAUAUUGCACAAUGGGCGCAAGCCUGAUGCAGCCAUGCCGCGUGUAUGAAGAAGGCCUUCGGGUUGUAAAGUACUUUCAGCGGGGAGGAAUGGAGUAAAGUUAAUACCUUUGCUCAUUGACGUUACCCGCAGAAGAAGCACCGGCUAACUCCGUG